rnacentral:rRNA from 1 species
AACGAACGCUGGCGGCGCGCCUAACACAUGCAAGUCGAGCGCCCCCUUCGGGGGGAGCGGCGCACGGGUGAGUAACGCGUGGGAACCUGCCUUUGGGUUCGGGACAACGGCCGGAAACGGCCGCUGACACCGGAUACGGCCUUCAGCGAUGGAGGCGAAAGGGAACGCCCGAAGAUGGGCCCGCGUCCGAUUAGCUCUUUGGUGGGGUAACGGCCCACCAAGGCUGCGAUCGGUAGCCGGUCUGAGAGGAUGAUCGGCCACACUGGGACUGAGACACGGCCCAGACUCCUACGGGAGGCAGCAGUGGGGAAUCUUGGACAAUGGGGGCAACCCUGAUCCAGCGACGCCGCGUGGGUGACGAAGGCCUUCGGGAUGUAAAGCCCUUUUCCCGGGGACGAUGAUGACGGUACCCGGGGAACAAGCACCGGCUAACUCCGUGCCAGCAGCCGCAGUAACAC